UUUUAAAUUAAGGACAGAGGGGGCGGAAAAUGUUUCCCCCGGGGAAAAUUGGUUUGUGGGGGGCGAGGGUUCCAUAGGAAGGCCGUUUUUGAUUUUUUGAAGUUGGGUUUUUCCGAGCAUGGUGGGAUUUCAGCCCCCAAAUGUGUGAUUUUUCACCAAUUAACAGGGAACCUGAAGCUGGGUUUUAGACCGUCGCGAAACAGGUUAGUUUUACCCUACUGCAUCGCGUCCGAGAGUAGGUCGGGGCAGUACGAGAGGAAGUGCCGAUCAGAACCGCUGGUGAUACUUUCGUCUGUUAAGGCGCGAAGUGUAGCUACGUUCUUCUUAUAAUAGCUGAAAGCCUCUAAGCUAGAAUGAGUACUUAAGGACGCAAAGAUAUGAAGACUACAUAUGUAAGGAUGAGGGUUGUACGAUAUAAGCUUCUGCGAGUAUUUCAGACCACUUAUUUCCUUUUUUAGAACAUGCUUGCUC
rnacentral:ncRNA from 1 species